CGGAGAUCUUCUUAAUCCAGGACUGACAAGACACAUGUAUUUAAAAUAAAUACAUUCUGUGAGCUGCUGCUGUGGAAGUGUCUGUAAUACCCAGUGAGUGCAGAGAAGCAGCCUCUUUGCCAAUACAUGCUGGCACUGUCCUUUUGAGCUGAAUGGAUGAACCUUGAGUUAUUCCAGAUGACUGUUUUAGGGAGUUGUCUUGUAGCAAGUAUUCAUUCCACAGCAAAAUAACAAGACUGGGUGCAGACUGGAUGUAGUCGCCGUGUGGAGGCAGAAGGGUUUUCGUGGAGCUCCCCAUGCUGUGUGAGGAAGAGGAUGCUUUGCACUGUGUGAAACUAGCAAAAGGGCAGAGGUACGGAUAGCCUCUCCCACACAAAUCCACGCUGAGUAGAGGAAUAGCACUUUCUGGACACAGAAUUCUUUGGAUGGUCACUUAGAAUUAAAUGAACAGCGCUGUCACCUAUAGUGGAAGAAGGCAGAACACCCUGUUUCUGCUGACUCAGCAGCAACAGCUUCCUGCGUUUGCCCUGAGAUGGGUGGUGAUGGCAGGUUGCAAAUAUAACAGCCUCAGAGAAAGUGCCC
ensembl:lncRNA